rnacentral:rRNA from 1 species
UGCCAGCCGCCGCGGUAAUACGGAGAUGGCAACCGUUGUUCGGAAUCACUGGGCAUUAAGCGCACGUAGGCGGCGCGCUAAGUCAGGUGUGAAAGCCCUCGGCUCAACCGAGGAACUGCUCCUGAUACUGGCGUGCUCGAGGACGGUUGGGGUGAGUGGAACUCCUGGUGGAGCGGUGAAAUGCGUAGAUAUCAGGAGGAACACCGGUGGCGAAAGCGGCUCACUGGGCCGUCUCUGACGCUGAGGUGCGAAAGCUAGGGGAGCGAACGGGACUAGAUA